ACCUGGGUGGCUCAGUCGGUUGAGUAUCUGACUUGGGCUCAGGUCAUGAUCUUGUGGCUGUGAGUUCGAGCCCCACCUCGGGCU
rfam:Felis catus isolate Cinnamon breed Abyssinian chromosome F2, whole genome shotgun sequence.